GAGGCAUGAUGAUGAAAAGGUUGAAGCAAAGUGGGAUGAAUUUAGGGUUUUGGAGAGAGUGAUGAUGAAGGAAAUUAGGGUUAGCCGCAAGUUUUGGGGGGUAUGGGAAUUGCUGAUGCCAAGUUUGUGAAAGGAUGUGAUAAGAGUUGCUGAUGUGUCGAUCCAUGAGUGAAAUAAAAUGCAUUUAAUCCAAAAACAAUCAGUAUGUGUCGAUGCAUAUGGGCAUGGUUCGACCCAAGUCACGCAUUAUUG
rnacentral:lncRNA from 1 species